ensembl:lncRNA
UUCAGUUUAUUUCCAGAAUUUUACUGUACAAAAUAUGCAAAGUGUAAAACUUUUUUUUUUUAUGUUUCAGUUUAAAAAAAAAAAAACCAACACAACCCCCAUCCAGCUAUAACUUAAGAGAACCCAGCUUGGAACAGAACAACUCUCUAGGCUAAGACCCACAGUGCAUUAAUGUCACAGACACCAGGAAUUUGCUUACUUAAGUUCACAAUUAGAAAAGGAACAUAAAAGACCAGGUACCAUUGCAGUUAAAGUCACAUGUGCAAAGAGGAAAAAAGAAAGAAAGAAAUGCUGGUUAGUGUCUAUUGAUUAGAAAACCUCGGCAAACCCCAUCUUACUAUACACAGUGUGUGUAGAAAAAGAGUAUUACACAGUGAUCAAAAAGAGGGCGAGGGAAGGACCGCCUUCCCCAAGACACAAUAAUGCUGAAUCCAAGAAACAGGCACAGAAGAGUGUAAGAUUCCUUCACAGUUACUGUCUGUGCAGGUAGCCACAGCACCCCCCCAGUGCAGGAGAUACCCCCAAGCAUCAUUGCGCUGGUGAGAGGUGCAGCCAGAGGGAAGGAUGCCCUCUCUGGGCAGGCAGAGCACACACAGGGCAGGGCUGGCUGCCCGCAGGGCUUCAGUACAUUGUGGGGAUUAAAAACAGAGUCUCUUGGAGGGAUGCAGAGGGAGGGUAACACCAGUUGUACCACUGGUGUAACGGGGGGGACCUGGCUCAGGAGUAUCCCAAAGCGGUCAUAGAGCAGCGGUUGGAAACGGCAACUUUUGGUCAUCAUCUGUCGGAGGAGGAGCCUGAACGCAGGAGGAUGUGUAUUCCCAUAGGAGACUUCACGGCCCAAAGUCAUCUCUUUUAGAAGACAGAAAUUCGGAGGGCUUUGGGGGAGUUUACUUUUGCUUGUAAAAAACCCCAAACAGUUCAAUACCAAGAGCUUCCUUCUUAACACAGUUGGAAUGCUGAACCACCGAGCCCGGCUUGAGGCUUUAGACAUGUAUAACGCACACACCUAUGAGGGAAAAGCACAGACAUACACAAACUGCAUGAGGAAACGGACACCUGAACACACAUCUCACGAACAGCUCUCAUAGGGGAGGGCAGAACUGAGCACAACCAAAGAGCAGAGCCUGGGACCAGACUGCAGCGUUUUUGCCAAAGACUUUUGUUUUCCUUUUGGAAAAGGGCAGAUUUACAAGUUUUGGUAAGCAAGAUGAUGGAACUGGCUUGAAUAGGAUUCCACAUUCAGCACAGGAUGGAUCUUUCCAGUUCUUCAACAGCAAGCACUGGAAACCAGCACAUCUCAAACAAGACUUUAAAAGCUACUUAUGCAGGGUAGGGCCGGCUUCAGAAUCAGCUCUCCCACAGGUUCUGGCAUAUUUGGCAAUAGCAGAUUCCCGAGGCUUUGCAUGGAGAUCCCCAUCCCAAAGGAAAAGGUUAAGAGGCUCCAUGAGGGGUGGGAUUUGUUCAGAUUUUCUCCAACCUUGUGCCUCAUUGUGAGCUGCUCCCAAACUGCAGCCCAAGCACCCCAUCCCAGUGGAUACUUGUUCUGCCUCACUAGGGAAUAUCAGGGAAAAAAACCUCACAGGGAGGCGAGGACGGGAGCUGCAAUGACUAAAGUUGCUGGCAGGAAAAGUUGUAGAGGCAGAAGUCAGAGGAAUAACUGGCAGAGGCUAAAAUCAGAUCUGCCUUUCUCUCCUAUAGCCCCCCUGCAAGUGUAAUAUCUACACUCUUAGAAGCUGGGAGGAAUCUGUCUCUUUCCUUCUUUAGCCAUGAAACAGAAAGCCAGGCUUCGUGGAAACCCACAGCCAUCUCCAUCUGUUCCAGAACAGUUCAAAUAGCUGCGUCUGGUUUUGGAAGAUCUCAGCACAGCUUUGGAUUUAGGCUGUUACAAAUCUGAGACCAAAAAAACCCCAAAGCCUUUAAAGUAUCCAAGGAGCAUACUUGAGAGUCACAUGGAAAACACCAACAUGGAAGAGAGGAAUGGGGUAACAUUAUCAAAUGGUCCAGUCUUUAGUGAAGGAUGUCCAGUGCAAGGAUCUCCUCUGAGGGGACAUUGUUCACUUCAAACAGGGUUGUCUUACAAACCAUUUGAACUCCAAAAAAACCCAACAAUUCUCAGCCAGGUACAAGAAUCCAGAUUGGGAGAGAGGAGGGAGAAUAUGUGCAUGGAGACAGUGCCGGAUAGGAAAGGCAUUUGGAGGAAAACAGCCUGCUCUUGGCUGGCAAAACCCUUCAAGCCUUAUUUUUAUGCUCAGCUCUUGGCAAGCUCUGCAGAAGGAAGGAGUGCGGGAUUUGGAUCGGAGCUGUGUUCCCUGUGGCUCGAUUCUUACUCAUUAGCUGGCUAUAAACAGAGUUAAACAAACCAGGCUGCUCUCACCGCUCAGGGGUUUUAUGAAGAGUCUGAAUUCGUAUAGAUGCCACAGAUCCAUCUGUGGAUCUCAAAGCACUUGACAAGUUGAGUUUAGCCUCCCAACACCCCAGUGAAGUAGGUAUGACAGUGGUCCCCUGAUUCUGCAGAGAGGGGAAACUAGAGAGACCCUGAGAAAUAGGAUGUCAUUAAAAACAAGCACAGGGAAUACUCAGGAGUCCCGAUACCUCUUUGAGUCUGUCGUCACCCCUAAGCAGGUUGCAUUCUAAAGAGCCCAUUUGAGAGGCCAAGUCCUCUCCUCCAGAUUUCAUCAGGCAAAGCAUUCACGGUGCUGACACAGGGAAGAGUGUUUAAUUUAGGAGUUGGCCCCCAUUGACAGUGUCCUUUCCAUGGGCAGGCAGAAAAGGCAGCACUGAUGAGGAAGCAGACCCAGAGCGAGCAAGCACCGCUUCUGUCUGCUUCUCCAUGUGUUUAAGGAUUUAAUGGGAUUAAGACAUGAGUUUCCUGAGCAGAUCCUGUCAGACAGACCCCCGGUGGGGCAGGGGAAAGGGGAAGGAAAUCCUGGCAAAGUGAGAAACUUUAGCAGAGGUGCCUGUGAGAAGGUGCUCUCACA